CAGUCGCCACGGGAAUACGGAGGGGGCUAGCGUUGUUCGGAAUUACUGGGCGUAAAGCGCACGUAGGCGGCUUUGUAAGUUAGAGGUGAAAGCCCGGAGCUCAACUCCGGAAUUGCCUUUAAGACUGCAGAGCUAGCAGGUGAGAGAGGUGAGUGGAAUUCCGAGUGUAGAGGUGAAAUUCGUAGAUAUUCGGAAGAACACCAGUGGCGAAGGCGGCUCACUGGCUCAUACUGGACGCUGAGGUGCGAAAGCGUGGGGAGCAAACAGGAUUAGAUACCCGGGUAGUCCCUGUCUCUUAUAC
rnacentral:rRNA from 1 species